rnacentral:rRNA from 1 species
UACAGAGGUCUCAAGCGUUGUUCGGAUUCAUUGGGCGUAAAGGGUGCGUAGGCGGCGCGGUAAGUCGGGUGUGAAAUCUCGGGGCUUAACUCCGAAACUGCAUACGAUACUGCCGUGCUUGAGGACUGGAGAGGAGACUGGAAUUUACGGUGUAGCGGUGAAAUGCGUAGAUAUCGUAAGGAAGACCAGUGGCGAAGGCGGGUCUCUGGACAGUUCCUGACACUGAGACACGAAGGCCAGGGGAGCAAACGGG